CGCGUAGGCGGCGAGGCAAGUUGGAUGUGAAAGCCCUGGGCUCAACCCAGGAUGUGCAUACAAAACUGCCUCGCUUGAAUCUCGGAGGGGGUCAGGGAAUUCCCGGUGUAGAGGUGAAAUUCGUAGAUAUCGGGAGGAACACCAGUGGCGAAGGCGCUGACCUGGACGAUGAUUGACGCUGAGGCGCGAAAGCGUGGGGAGCAAACA
rnacentral:rRNA from 1 species